CUAAGCUUCAGCCUUUAGGGAGGAAAGACAAGGGGUGCUCCCAGGGAAGGCUUUUCAAGUCCCCACCUUUUCACUCCACACCACUCAUGCCCUGGCAUAUUCCUCUGCUCACCCUCACAGUGUGAGUGCAUCUCCAUCCAUGUGGGCCAGGCCGGAGUGCAGAUGGGCAAUGCCUGCUGGGAGCUGUACUGCCUGGAGCACGACAUCCAGCCCAGUGGCACCAUGCCCAGCCACAAGGCCCUGGGGAGCAGUGAUAACUCCUUCAACACCUUCUUCAGGGAGACCCAGCCUGGCAGGCAUGUGUCCUGGGCUGUCUGUGGACCUGGAGCCUGCUGUCAUAGGUUGGCAUCAACUACCAGUCCCCCACAGUGGUGCCCGGGGGUGCUGUAGCCAAGGUGCAGCGGGCAGUCUGCGUGCUAAACAAUACCACAGCCAUCACUGAGGCCUGGGCCCGCCUCAACCAAAAGUUUGACCUGAUGUAUGCCAAGCGGGCAUUUAUGCACUGUUAUGUGGACAGGGGCAUGGAGGAAGGUGAGCUCUCUGGGCCUGAGAGGACCUGGCUGCCCUGGAGAAGGAUUAUGAAGUAGGCACAGAAUCUUUGGACAGCGAGGAUGAGCAUGAGGAGUUCUAGGGGUCCUGGCACCUGUAACACCUGGUCUC
rnacentral:lncRNA from 1 species